rnacentral:rRNA from 1 species
AGUCGCACGAUGUAAGCUUCAUAGCUUGCUAGAGAGUGCGCAUUAGUGGCGCACGGGUGAGUAAGGUAUAGUUAAUCUGCCCUACACAAGAGGACAACAGUUGGAAACGACUGCUAAUACUCUAUACUCCUGCUUAACACAAGUUGAGUAGGGAAAGUUUUUCGGUGUAGGAUGAGACUAUAUAGUAUCAGCUAGUUGGUAAGGUAAUGGCUUACCAAGGCUAUGACGCUUAACUGGUCUGAGAGGAUGAUCAGUCACACUGGAACUGGAACACGGUCCAAAACUCCUACGGGAGGCAGCAGUAGGGAAUAUUGCGCAAUGGGGGAAACCCUGACGCAGCAACGCCGCGUGGAGGAUGACACUUUUCGGAGCGUAAACUCCUUUUCUUAGGGAAGAAUUCUGACGGUACCUAAGGAAUAAGCACCGGCUAACUCCGUGCCAGCAGCCGCGGUAAUACGGAGGGUGCAAGCGUUACUCGGAAUCACUGGGCGUAAAGGGCGCGUAGCGGAUUAUCAAGUCUCUUGUGAAAUCUAAUGGCUUAACCAUUAAACUGCUUGGGAAACUGAUAGUCUAGAGUG